rnacentral:tRNA from 1 species
GGUUAUGGCUCAGCGGUAGAGCAUUCACCUUGCAUGUGCAAGGCCCUGGGUUCAAUCCUCAGCACCA